rfam:Cryomorphaceae bacterium BACL21 MAG-121220-bin10 contig00034.0_to_3_1_121220-bin10, whole genome shotgun sequence.
UAAAUUCGCCGCUCGAUAAUCAAGAGGUUAUCAACAUACAUAAAAAUCAUUUAAAUAAUAUUGGCAUG